AAACAUGCCAGAUUAGCAUAGUGUGCCAACAGUGUUACGUCGGUCUACGGUUUCCCUGCGCUUACCUCAGCGUAACUUCCGUUGCCUAGCAACCGUGUUAGCAUGAAGCACAGAGCUGUGAAGCCGAACGAAUGGAGCCUGAAGGUUAAUACCGCUGUCUCUACUUUAAAUAACUACACGGUUUUUAUUUACCCUUUAUUUGCCCUUCAGCUGUUCUCUCGGGGUCUCCCGGUCAGCUGACAGCUGGCAAGGCGAGCUGGCUGCGAGGGCAGCGGACAUCUCUGAACACGUCAGCGUACUUGUGCAAUUUGACAAUAUCUUGAUGAACCAAUCAGAUAUUUCAGCCUUUGCUACUUCCGUUUGAAUGAUCUACUUCGCAAUGAAUCAUGGGAUAUGGUGGGCCAUGGAGGAUACACCGGACCCAUCGUUCAAAUCUGGAGAAAAGAAGGACACGUUAGUUGGCCUCAUUUGAAGGAGCGUUCAAAGUUGGAUAGCCUUUGUCUGCUCACCAUGACGUAAUUGGCCUACAAAUGUGACCUUCAAAGGAUGCAACCCCUGAAUUUGGACACAGCAAUAGUGAAUAAUAUCCAUGAAUCAGUUAA